rnacentral:rRNA from 1 species
ACCCAAUAGAUACCCGGGUAGUCCACGCCGUAAACGAUGAGUGCUAAGUGUUAGAGGGUUUCCGCCCUUUAGUGCUGCAGCUAAACGCAUUAAGCACUCCGCCUGGGGAGUACGGCCGCAAGGCUGAAACUCAAAGGAAUUGACGGGGGCCCGCACAAGCGGUGGAGCAUGUGGUUUAAUUCGAAGCAACGCGAAGAACCUUACCAGGUCUUGACAUCCUCUGACACUCCUAGAGAUAGGACGUUCCCCUUUGCGGGGACAGAGUGACAGGUGGCGCAUGGUUGUCGUCAGCUCGUGUCGUGAGAUGUUGGGUUAAGUCCCGCAACGAGCGCAACCCUUGAUCUUAGUUGCCAGCAUUCAGUUGGGCACUCUAAGGUGACUGCCGGUGACAAACCGGAGGAAGGUGGGGAUGACGUCAAAUCAUCAUGCCCCUUAUGACCUGGGCUACACACGUGCUACAAUGGAUGGUACAAGGGCAGCGAAGCCGCGAGGUGGAGCCAAUCCCAU